UGGGGGUGAAUCCAGGUGCAGGGGCAAUAGGACUCUGCAGGGGUUUCUAGGUGAAGGUGGCUGGUGCUCAGUGGGGAGGAUGGGGCUCCGC